AGUGAACGCUGGCGGUAGGCCUAACACAUGCAAGUCGAACGGCAGCACAGUAAGAGCUUGCUCUUACGGGUGGCGAGUGGCGGACGGGUGAGGAAUACAUCGGAAUCUACUUUUUCGUGGGGGACAACGUAGGGAAACUUACGCUAAUACCGCAUACGACCUACGGGUGAAAGCAGGGGAUAUUCGGACCUUGCGCUAUUGAAUGAGCCGAUGUCGGAUUAGCUAGUUGGCGGGGUAAAGGCCCACCAAGGCGACGAUCCGUAGCUGGUCUGAGAGGAUGAUCAGCCACACUGGAACUGAGACACGGUCCAGACUCCUACGGGAGGCAGCAGUGGGGAAUAUUGGACAAUGGGCGCAAGCCUGAUCCAGCCAUACCGCGUGGGUGAAGAAGGCCUUCGGGUUGUAAAGCCCUUUUGUUGGGAAAGAAAAGCAGCAGGUUAAUACCCCGCUGUUCUGACGGUACCCAAAGAAUAAGCACCGGCUAACUUCGUG
rnacentral:rRNA from 1 species